GACGAACGCUGGCGGCGUGCCUAAUACAUGCAAGUAGAACGCUGAAGAGAGGAGCUUGCUCUUCUUGGAUGAGUUGCGAACGGGUGAGUAACGCGUAGGUAACCUGCCUUGUAGCGGGGGAUAACUAUUGGAAACGAUAGCUAAUACCGCAUAACAAUGGAUGACACAUGUCAUUUAUUUGAAAGGGGCAAUUGCUCCACUACAAGAUGGACCUGCGUUGUAUUAGCUAGUAGGUGUGGUAAUGGCUCACCUAGGCGACGAUACAUAGCCGACCUGAGAGGGUGAUCGGCCACACUGGGACUGAGACACGGCCCAGACUCCUACGGGAGGCAGCAGUAGGGAAUCUUCGGCAAUGGGGGCAACCCUGACCGAGCAACGCCGCGUGAGUGAAGAAGGUUUUCGGAUCGUAAAGCUCUGUUGUAAGUCAAGAACGGGUGUGAGAGUGGAAAGUUCACACUGUGACGGUAGCUUACCAGAAAGGGACGGCUAACUACGUG
rnacentral:rRNA from 1 species